rnacentral:rRNA from 1 species
GUGGGGAAUAUUGCACAAUGGGGGAAACCCUGAUGCAGCGACGCCGCGUGGAGGAUGAAGGUCUUCGGGUUGUAAACUCCUUUUAUUGGGAAAGAUAAUGACGGUACCCAAUGAAUAAGCCACGGCUAACUCUGUGCCAGCAGCCGCGGUAAGACAGAGGUGGCGAGCGUUGUUCGGAAUUACUGGGCUUAAAGGGCGAGUAGGCGGUGGGACAAGUCUGAUGUGGAAUCUUAGGGCUUAACCCUAAAACUGCAUUAGAAACUGUUUUACUUGAGUCAGUGAGGGGAGGGCGGAAUUCCCGGUGUAGCGGUGAAAUGCGUAGAUAUCGGGAGGAAGGCCGGUGGCGAAGGCGGCCCUCUGGCACUGUACUGACGCUGAGGCGCGAAAGCGUGGGGAGCAAACAGGAUUAGAAACCCGGGUAGUCC